rnacentral:rRNA from 1 species
UACGUAGGGGGCAAGCGUUGUUCGGAAUUACUGGGCGUAAAGGGCGCGUAGGCGGCACAGCAAGUCGGGAGUGAAAGCCCGGGCUCAACCCCGGAAUGGCUUUCGAAACCUGGCUGAGCUAGAGUACAGAAGGGGCAACCGGAAUUCCCAGUGUAGCGGUGAAAUGCGUAGAUAUUGGGAAGAACACCUGAGGCGAAGCGGGUUGCUGGGCUGAGUGACUGACGCUGAAGGAGCGAAAGCGUGGGGAGCGAACAGG